GAUGAACGCUAGCGGGAGGCCUAACACAUGCAAGCCGAGCGGUAGAGAUUCUUCGGAAUCUUGAGAGCGGCGUACGGGUGCGGAACACGUGUGCAACCUGCCUUUAUCAGGGGGAUAGCCUUUCGAAAGGAAGAUUAAUACCCCAUAAUAUAUUUGAUGGCAUCAUUAGAUAUUGAAAGCUUUUGCGGAUAGAGAUGGGCACGCGCAAGAUUAGAUAGUUGGUGAGGUAACGGCUCACCAAGUCGAUGAUCUUUAGGGGGCCUGAGAGGGUGAUCCCCCACAGUGGGACUGAGACACGGAGCAGACUCAUACGGGAGGCAGCAGUGAGGAAUAUUGGACAAUGGGUUAGCGCCUGAUCCAGCCAUCCCGCGUGAAGGACGACGGCCCUAUGGGUUGUAAACUUCUUUUGUACAGGGAUAAACCUACUCUCGUGAGAGUAGCUGAAGGUACUGUACGAAUAAGCACCGGCUAACUCCGUG
rnacentral:rRNA from 1 species